UUGAUUCCUGCUGCCGCAGCGGUACUCGGAGGGCCCAGAUACGACACGGGUCUGCGGGCUUCUGGCGGGCACCCCCCUCCGGGGGCCGGCGGCUCCGCCCUGGAGCCGCCCGCCGAGGCAACGACGGUAGGUUCGCGGUUGUGGGGAGUCCGGGGACUCGGCAAUGAUCCCUCCGCUGGUUCACCAACGGAGA
rnacentral:misc_RNA from 1 species